UUCCUAUGCUCUUUUCAUGCUGUGUUGGA
rnacentral:piRNA from 1 species